UACGUAGGGUGCAAGCGUUAAUCGGAAUUACUGGGCGUAAAGCGUGCGCAGGCGGUUAUAUAAGACAGAUGUGAAAUCCCCGGGCUCAACCUGGGAACUGCAUUUGUGACUGCAAGGCUAGAGUACGGUAGAGGGGGAUGGAAUUCCGCGUGUAGCAGUGAAAUGCGUAGAUAUGCGGAGGAACACCGAUGGCGAAGGCAAUCCCCUGGACCUGUACUGACGCUGAGGCGCGAAAGCGUGGGGAGCAAACAGG
rnacentral:rRNA from 1 species